rnacentral:rRNA from 1 species
CCUACGGGUGGCAGCAGUGAGGAAUAUUGGUCAAUGGACGAGAGUCUGAACCAGCCAAGUAGCGUGAAGGAUGACUGCCCUAUGGGUUGUAAACUUCUUUUAUAUGGGAAUAAAAUGUUCCACGUGUGGGAUUUUGUAUGUACCAUAUGAAUAAGGAUCGGCUAACUCCGUGCCAGCAGCCGCGGUAAUACGGAGGAUCCGAGCGUUCUCCGGAUUUAUUGGGUUUAAAGGGAGCGUAGGUGGAUUGUUAAGUCAGUUGUGAAAGUUUGCGGCUCAACCGUAAAAUUGCAGUUGAAACUGGCAGUCUUGAGUACAGUAGAGGUGGGCGGAAUUCGUGGUGUAGCGGUGAAAUGCUGAGAUAUCACGAAGAACUCCGAUUGCGAAGGCAGUUCACUGGACUGCAACUGACACUGAGGCUCGAAAGUGUGGGUAUCAAACAGGAUUAGAUACCCGAGUAGUC